GACGAACGCUGGCGGCGUGCUUAACACAUGCAAGUCGAACGGAAAGGCCCUGCUUUUGUGGGGUGCUCGAGUGGCGAACGGGUGAGUAACACGUGAGUAACCUGCCCUUGACUUUGGGAUAACUUCAGGAAACUGGGGCUAAUACCGGAUAGGAGCUCCUGCUGCAUGGUGGGGGUUGGAAAGUUUCGGCGGAUGGGGAUGGACUCGCGGCUUAUCAGCUUGUUGGUUGGGUAGUGGCUUACCAAGGCUUUGGCGGGUAGCCGGCCUGAGAGGGUGGCCGGGCACAUGGGGACUGAGGUACGGCCCAGACGCCUACGGGAGGCAGCAGUGGGGAAUAUUGCACAGUGGGCGGAAGCCUGAUGCAGCAACGCCGCGUGCGUGAUGACGGCCUUCGGGUUGUAAACCGCUUUCGCCUGUGACGAAGCGGGAGUGACGGUAAUGGGUAAAGAAGCACCGGCUAACUACGUG
rnacentral:rRNA from 1 species